rnacentral:rRNA from 1 species
CACAGUGUAGCAAUACAUGGGUGGCGACCGGCAAACGGGUGCGGAACACGUACGCAACCUUCCUUCAGGCGGGGAAUAGCCCAGAGAAAUUUGGAUUAAUACCCCAUAAUAUUUUGAGAUGGCAUCAUCUUAUUAUUAAAGCUACGGCACCUGGAGAUGGGCGUGCGGCUGAUUAGGUAGUUGGCGGGGUAAUGGCCCACCAAGCCUACGAUCAGUAGCUGAUGUGAGAGCAUGAUCAGCCACACGGGCACUGAGACACGGGCCCGACUCCUACGGGAGGCAGCAGUAAGGAAUAUUGGUCAAUGGACGCAAGUCUGAACCAGCCAUGCCGCGUGGAGGAUGAAGGUCCUCUGGAUUGUAAACUUCUUUUAUCUGGGACGAAAAAAGGGUUUUCUAACUCGUCUGACGGUACCAGAUGAAUAAGCACCGGCUAACUCCGUGCCAGCAGCCGCGGUAAUACGGAGGGUGCAAGCGUUAUCCGGAUUCACUGGGUUUAAAGGGUGCGUAGGCGGGCAUUUAAGUCAGUGGUGAAAUACCUGAGCUUAACUUGGGAACUGCCAUUGAUACUAUUUGUCUUGAAUGUCGUGGAGGUUAGCGGAAUAUGUCAUGUAGCGGUGAAAUGCUUAGAUAUGACAUAGAACACCUAUUGCGAAGGCAGCUAACUACGCGAAUAUUGACGCUGAGGCACGAAAGCGUGGGGAUCAAACAGGAUUAGAUACCCUGGUAGUCCACGCCCUAAACGAUGAUUACUCGACAUUAGCGAUAUACUGUUAGUGUCUGAGCG